GAUAUUAUUUAUUAUUCUCUUUGUAUUUUUAACACUACAUUAUUCAUUUCUAUGAACCUUGGAUAGCAAAGCACAAUUGCUUAAUAUGGGAAAUAAGUAAUAACAUAUUGGGCCAUACAAAUAGAUUCCAUAAAACUUUCUCUCCAAAGACUUGACUUACUUAAAUACCAGGAUACAAAAUGUCAAAUGUUUGAGCUCAUUGAUAAAAGCAGAAAAUAUUGAUGUUGCAUGUUCUCUUUACAAAGCACUGAUCUUCCUGCUUUUUAGAAUCUGGUGGUGGCUGUUUGUUUUCUUAUCCCAAUUUGAAUGUCCAAAACAAAAGCCAGACCUAGUUGACACUUAAACAAUAGAAUGUUACAUUAGUUUGUGUUCCAAAGUGAAAUGUGCACAGGCAGCCUGGCUGGCCCCAGUUUCACAGUUGACUGCUGACUUCACUUCAGAUUACAUAAACAUGUAUUGCAAAACAGCUCUGACGGGAACCUCAUAACCUAAACAGCAUUCUCUGAAAUGUAACUUGUCUUUUUAUAUAAAAGGAAAAAUUAAAUCAGAAUUAUUUUGAAGAAAAACAACUCCAGGAUUUUGUUCAAUUGAAUUUUACCAGGAAAUGCUAUUGCCUAGUAGCACUGACCUUGGGGCAGAGAGAAGCUGAAGUCACGUAUUUUGGAGGGUCAGACUUCUCUAGUGACUUCACGUGUGUCACAUCAAGUUAAUCAAGUGACUGGAGCAUCUAUUACCUUAGGCCACAAGGAGCCCUCCUUUAGUAUUCCAUCCUGGAGAAAGGUAUGUGCUGGGUUAUGUUCACCAAGAUCUAAAAUGAUCACACCUUUUGGACAAUAAACUGUUGUGAUCUCGCCCUGCAAGAACCUUACAAAAUGAAGGUGGCAUUUCAGCAGCCUUGCCCGCAAGUGAGAGAUGAAGACUAUUGGCUGCCCAUGGAAAAAGAAGAUGUGGCUCUUUGAGGGAAGAAGACCCUUCCUCUUUCCUUCAGUGGCUGAGACCAUUGGGCUGAAGUCGACUUCUCUGCAGUCUUAAGUUAUUCCAGACGGUGGAUUGAAUGAUUUUCUCGCCUUACCUUCCUCAGAUGUGGAGGCCCGGCAGCGGCCAUGGCUGGCACGGUGCACAUGACAACCAAAGUCUGCUGCAGAAGUUUUCUUGGCGUAUUAAAAUUUGCCCACAAGAGAGUUUACCGCAAAAGGAAUCCUCAAGACCUGUUUGGGAAGUGGAAUUGUUGGAUGAAAGGACAUUGUGCAUCCAUCCAAAAAUAUGAAAUCUUCCAUUUGCAAUGAUGUGGGUGGAAUAGAAGGUAUUCUGCCAAGUCAAUUCAGAGAAAGAUCAGUUAUCAUAUGAAACCAUUCAUAUGUGGAAUUU